rnacentral:rRNA from 1 species
GAUGAACGCUGGCGGCGUGCCUAAUACAUGCAAGUCGAGCGAACAGAUGAGGAUCUUGCUCCUCUGACGUUAGCGGCGGACGGGUGAGUAACACGUGGAUAACCUACCUAUAAAACUGGGAUAACUUCGGGAAACCGGAGCUAAUACCGGAUAAUAUAUUGAACCGCAUGGUUCAAUAGUGAAAGACGGUUUUGCUGUCACUUAUAGAUGGAUCCGCGCCGCAUUAGCUAGUUGGUAAGGUAACGGCUUACCAAGGCAACGAUGCGUAGCCGACCUGAGAGGGUGAUCGGCCACACUGGAACUGAGACACGGUCCAGACUCCUACGGGAGGCAGCAGUAGGGAAUCUUCCGCAAUGGGCGAAAGCCUGACGGAGCAACGCCGCGUGAGUGAUGAAGGUCUUCGGAUCGUAAAACUCUGUUAUUAGGGAAGAACAAAUGUGUAAGUAACUAUGCACGUCUUGACGGUACCUAAUCAGAAAGCCACGGCUAACUACGUG